UUUUAUGGAUUUUUGUGAUUUUAUCGACAACUCUAGCUUUUUCGUGGACUCUGAUUUGCCUCCUCACCUUCUGACCUUUGCGAGUACUAUAAUUGACCUUGAUUUGCCUUUUGAUUUGGAUUUUGUACUAUGGCGUCGAAACAUAAGUGUUUUAUUCCUGGUUGUGACCAGAAUGAAAAACGUGAAACCACCAGUACCUUACAUAGGUUCCCCAAUCCUGAUAAGGAUGCUGGAAGAUUCAGAAAAUGGACCAAUGCUAUUGGUGGAAUGUUAUGUGUGGAGUAUUAUAAAAAAAGAAAUAAAUGUCGAAAACCUUA